rnacentral:rRNA from 1 species
UCGCUGACGAGUGGCGGACGGGUGAGUAAUACUUAGGGAUCUGCCUUUGAGUGGGGGACAACCAUUGGAAACGAUGGCUAAUACCGCAUAACGUCUGUGGACUUUGUCGAUAGACCAAAGGGGGCUUUCGGGCUCUCGCUUGAAGAGGAACCUGAGCGAGAUUAGCUAGUUGGUGGGGUAAAGGCCUACCAAGGCGACGAUCUCUAGCUGUUCUGAGAGGAAGAUCAGCCACACUGGGACUGAGACACGGCCCAGACUCCUACGGGAGGCAGCAGUGGGGAAUAUUGCACAAUGGGGGAAACCCUGAUGCAGCCAUGCCGCGUGUGUGAAGAAGGCCUUCGGGUUGUAAAGCACUUUCAGACGUGAGGAAAGGGUAGUUGUUAAUACCAGCUAUCUGUGACGUUAGCGUCAGAAGAAGCACCGGCUAACUCCGUGCCAGCAGCCGCGGUAAUACGGAGGGUGCGAGCGUUAAUCGGAAUUACUGGGCGUAAAGCGCACGCAGGCGGUUUGUUAAGCUAGAAGUGAAAGCCCCGGGCUCAACCUGGGAAGGCCUUUUAGAACUGGCAAGCUAGAGUCUUGGAGAGGGGAGUGGAAUUCCAGGUGUAGCGGUGAAAUGCGUAGAUAUCUGGAGGAACAUCAGUGGCGAAGGCGGCUCCCUGGCCAAAGACUGACGCUCAUGUGCGAAAGUGUGGGUAGCGAACAGGAUUAGAUACCCUGGUAGUCCACACCGUAAACGCUGUCUACUAGCUGUGUGUGAUUUUAAAUCGUGCGUAGCGAAGCAAACGCGCUAAGUAGACCGCCUGGGGAGUACGGCCGCAAGGUUAAAACUCAAAUGAAUUGACG